rnacentral:tRNA from 1 species
GGGCGAUUAGCUCAGCUUGGUUAGAGUGCUUGCUUGACAUGCAAGAAGUCACUGGUUCGAGUCCAGUAUCGCCCACCA